rfam:Kordia algicida OT-1 1103813601120 genomic scaffold, whole genome shotgun sequence.
UAAGGUGGUUAUAGCAAUGGGGCUCACCUCUUACCAUUCCGAACAGAGAAGUUAAGCCCAUUAGCGCAGAUGGUACUGCAGAAAUGUGGGAGAGUAUGUCGCCGCCUUUU